rnacentral:lncRNA from 1 species
AAAUUUUUAAAUUUUUUUUUAUCAAAAUCUCAAUAAAUUGUAUGAAAAAAAAAAGAUUUAGAAUUCGACAGGUUACACACUGCAAAAAAAAAAGUUCUAUAACUAAUAAUGAUUCGAACUUCAAGCCUGUUGCAGUUAAUAUGUUGGGUACUGUCGGGGAAUUAUUCUCCAUUUACGAACUUAUCACCUAAAACCAUUAAAAAAAAAACAAACAAACAAUGAGAAUGCAUAGAUGCAUAGAGAAUGAUAAAAUAUAACACAAUAUCGUUUAUAUGUCAGAUUAUAAAAUAAAUUUAAGAAAAUGAGCAACCUCCAUAGUCCUUGUUUUUAACAUCGAUAUAUGAAUCAUGCAAAGUAUAGCAACAAUUAUAUUCUUCCUCCCUGGAAUUUUAAGUUUCAACGGGAUAACAUCAUGUUCAUCAAUUUUUCCUAUAGUAUUACAUGGAGUUGAUCAGUUUAUGCCUCUUCUACAUGUUGAUAAUUAUGCAAAAAAAGUAAACAUGGAAAAACCAAAAAUAAUCCAACGAAUUUAGCACAAAGAUACACAUAACUAAAAUAAUGAGCAAACACAUAUAGAAUUUAAGUUGUAUGAUUGAUUCUAGAACUUGCCGAUCCCUAGCAAAACUUCAUUCCCUAUCUCGAAAUCAGCCAACAACAAAAAUUCCACCAAGAAAUGUAGCAGCAACGGUAGCUACCAUCUGCAGGGGUUCAGAAACACCGGCUGGCAUGUUAAAUAACUUCUUAAUGAAUUCUCAACUGCAAAAGAAAGGGAGCGGAGGUGGAGGGACUAAGCGGGUCAGACUAUAGAAACAAUACCCAUAAACACAAAAACGUGCAGAGCUUCUACUUAAGGAAUGACCUCCACAUACUUGUACUUGCAUGAUCAUCAGCAUAUAGAAGAGGCAUAAACUGAUUAACUCCAUAUACUCCUAUAGGGAAAAUCAGCAACCUGUUGAUAACAAACAAAUUUUAUAUAUAGUAAUCAAAUUCACAGAAUACAAAUUCGAAAUAAAUGAAAAUCUGAAUUCAACAGACUCUAUGAUUUGCUGAUGUUAUAAAUCCAAAGAAGAAUUAAAGAAGUUCCAAGAUAGCUUGAGUUGUGAUUCAAGAAGAGCACUCACUUACAAUUGUAGAUGGAAGGAAGCAAAAAAUAUUCGAUUUGGGUGCUGCAAUAUGGAGAAAUACAGAGAGAAAGCAAUCCAAUGCAGAAAUACAGAGAGAAAAUACAGAGAGAAACCAAAACAGGGAAGUAAAGCAAUCAAAGUCAGCAUCGGUGAACACUUUCAAGUUUCAAAGUUUAUUUUCUCACCUUCGAUUCCUUCCUCGAUAAUUUCUAGAGAAUGAAUCGGAGGUGAAAGCUCGUUGCUUUUAUAGAUCAAAAUCUAGGGCUUAAUUUUCCUUUGAUAAAAUUAUUCCAAAAAAAAAAUCUUUCUAAAGUUUACCAUCAAUAAUUGUAUAUUUCCAAAAUUUGUUAUUUCUAAAAUUAAGCACUAAUCAUUCCAUAUUCAACCCAGUCAAGCAUAAUCUUUAAUACUUACCAUGUUAGAGCAAUGGUGGUUGAGGCGGCGCCGACGUUUUAGAGCAAUCCGUGCGUAUGUAAGAAUGGAUGCAAAGGUGAACUAAUGAAUUUAUCACUAAAAAUCCAGGUUUUGAAGUUUCCAUUGUUAAACAAUUACCUAAAUGAUUGUAUAUACUUUUAAUCUUUCCAAAAUUUGUUCUUUCUAAGUAGAGACCCAAUCAUUCUAUAUUUACAAUUGUACUUUCCUAAUAGGAUACUUACCAUGUCAGAGGAGGUGGUGGCAGCGGUAAUGGUGAUUUCUAGCUAGACGGCCGAGUGGCGGCCGGCGAAGAGAAGCAGACAGAGGCGAUUGCGGCCUUCCCGUAUUCAUUGAAAUAUCUCACUCGUCGAUGUUCACACGAAGAACGGGCCAUCGGCGACGGGGGAGAGAAUGAAUUUGGGGACGAAAUUGAGGCUUGAGCAACAGAUCGCGGCGGUGGGAGGGGCAGAUCGCAGCGGUGGGGGAAUGGGGAAGGAGGGUCGGGUGGGUCCGAGCGAAGCAGAUCGCGGACGGUGGAAGGGAGAGCCGGUGUGCAAAAAAGACAACGAAUGGAGAAUCUAUUGCAGCGGUGGGCGAAGGUGGAAGGAGAACCGGGUGGUCCGGCGAAGCAAAUCGCGGCGGUGGGAGGGGGCAGAUCGAGCAAUUGGGG